rnacentral:rRNA from 1 species
GAGCACGUAGGUGGGUUUGUAAGUCAGACGUGAAAGCCUUCUGUUCAACGGAAGAAUUGCAUCUGAAACUACAAACCUUGAGUGUAGGAGGGGAGAAUGGAACUUCUGGUGGAGCGGUGAAAUGCGUAGAUAUCAGAAGGAACGCCGGCGGCGAAAGCGAUUCUCUGGCCUAUUACUGACACUCAGUGUGCGAAAGCUAGGGGAGCAAACGGGAUUAGAUACCCCGGUAGUCCUAGCCGUAAACGAUGGGCACUAAGUAGAGGGGUUU